rnacentral:rRNA from 1 species
GAAUAUUGCACAAUGGGCGAAAGCCUGAUGCAGCGACGCCGCGUGAGGGACGAAGGCCUUCGGGUUGUAAACCUCUUUCAGUAGGGAAGAAGCGAAAGUGACGGUACCUGCAGAAGAAGCGCCGGCUAACUACGUGCCAGCCGCCGCGGUAAUACGUAGGGCGCAAGCGUUAUCCGGAAUUAUUGGGCGUAAAGAGCUCGUAGGCGGUUUGUCGCGUCUGCUGUGAAAGCCCGGGGCUCAACCCCGGGUCUGCAGUGGGUACGGGCAGACUAGAGUGAUGUAGGGGAGACUGGAAUUCCUGGUGUAGCGGUGAAAUGCGCAGAUAUCAGGAGGAACACCGAUGGCGAAGGCAGGUCUCUGGGCAUUAACUGACGCUGAGGAGCGAAAGCAUGGGGAGCGAACAG